UUAGUACUAUAGGUACUCUCACUAGAAGUGGCCGUUAGAUAUUCAUCUGUUCACAGUUAGACAAACUGUCUAUAAAUGGAGGUGAUUUAGUACUAUAGGUACUCUCACUAGAAGUGGCCGUUAGAUAUUCAUCUGUUCACAGUUAGACAAACUGUCUAUAAAUGGAGGUGAUUUAGUACUAUAGGUACUCUCACUAGAAGUGGCCGUUAGAUAUUCAUCUGUUCACAGUUAGACAAACUGUCUAUAAAUGGAGGUG